CUGUAGUUCUUUGCCGCCUUUCUCCCAGGCGCUCCUAUGGCUCUCCCGCACGCCAAGGACUACGUCUCCCAGGAGGCUCCGCGGCGACUCCGCCGGUACACGUGCCCGCCUCUCCCUAAGCCAUGGUCGCGCGGAGCGGGCCAGCGCGUUUUUCAAAGGGCUGCUGGGAGUCGUAGUCCUGCCGCUUGUAGGCUGCUGACUUCGCUAUGGGGAUAGUUGAUCAUAACAAACCGAGGCAGGGGUGCAGGGAGUUGGUUGUUUGCGGAAAGUUCCCUGUGGAAGAAGAGAAGGGGUUUGUUGUGUCUUUUUAAAAAAAGCAAAACAGCAGACCAGCACCAGUCUUUGGCAGAAGAUGAACCGUCAGUUUGUUGAAGAUCGGAUUGUAGAGCUGGACACCCUUCCCUUCAUCUGGAAUGUGGAAAGAGCCAGGCCACAUUGCUCUCUCAGUAUGAAGAUGUCCCGUCUUAAACAAUUAGCAUUCACCUUUGAAUUUGGAUCCGUAAACCCCAGCUGAGGUCUCUGGAUGGCGUGCAGAACCUGCCUCAACUCUGCAAGCUGCACGUGCAGAAGAAUCAUCUUUCCAGCCUGCUGCCUCUUGCUUCCUCACUCUCUCUCAACAUCCUGGAUGCCUCUGGCAAUGACGUUGGUGGGCUGCCAAAGGCUUUGCACGUGCUCUGAGGGCUCCGUAGGCUGAAGCAGCUCACGCUCAAGGAUAACCCCUUGGCCCGAGACAACCGCUACAUCACUUCUAUCAAAGAGUCCACCUCUGUGGAGAUCCUAGAUGACAUGUUUCUUCAGAGCCCACCAAAGCUCUCUGCUCUCCCUUUGUGCAUGUGGCCCUUUCUCCGGGAAUCAGCAUCCAGUUCAACCGAUGCAGCCCAAGCAAAAGACGACUUGAAAGAGGUGGCCAGGAGGCUCUUCCAAGCAAGGCUUCGGCAGAAGAAAGAUUGCAUCAGCUGCGCCAUACACCACUUCCAUUCUAGGAUAUUGGAACUGCAGGAAGAACUGACAGAAUACGAAGAAAGACACAGACUAGAAACGGAUGGGUGUGUAAGAUACAUACAGGCUCUCCCUUCGGAGGAUUUUCUGCAUUUUGACAGUCCUGGGCAGCUCACUGAAGCCAUGGACAAUUACCUGUUCAGCAAAUUUUGGGAAAAGUGCAGAGUGGAAGGAGGAAACCAGCCAAUCUACCUUAUAAGGAGCUGACCAAACCAGAAGAUGUAAUAAAGGCUACUGCUUGCCUGCUUGCAAAUCCACCACACAGCUGCUCCCCUGCUAUCUGAAGCACUUUCCUUUGAGAAUCCUGCAUAAUGGGGAGCCUUUCUCUAAGAGGCCCCAGUCGACAAAAGGACUCUGAAAAUUGCUUUGAUGCUCUUCUUCUUGCUUGGAUAGACAUUGAGGAGUGACUUAUUGUAUGUGGUGAUGUAAGGGACUGUAAUAGUAAGCUUAUCUGUUCAUAACUUUAACAUAACUUUUGCAUUGAAAGUGAUCUUAAGGCUUUGCAAGUUAGGCUGCAUAACAGAUGCAUCAAUGUCCAGAACAUGAGAAGUAAUCUUUCCACUCUAUUCUGUGCUGGUCAGAUCCCAGUUGGAAUCCUGUCUCCAGUCCUGGACCCCACAUUUAAAGAAGGACAUCGGUAAACUGGAAUGGUUCAGAGGAGGUCAACAAAGAUGGAAUGGCCAAUAAAUGAAUGGUCAACAGGUUGUCAGAGGGGCCUUUGCUCCAUGUGUCAAUGCUGAGAAAGGCUGAAUUGCCAUGCACACCGGACUGGGCCUUCUCUGUUGUUGCCCCUAGGCUCUGGAAUGCUCUCCCCAUGCAUGUUUGCUCUUUGACGUCUGUGGCUGCUUUUAAAAAACAACUAAAGACCUUUUAAUUUGUUCAGGCUGUUGCCUCUUAGGGGCUGCCGGGUCUCUCAGCUCUCUUGCUUCUGCUUGUCUUUUUUAUGGUGGUUGUUCUUUUGAUGUUUAAUGGUUUUUACUGUUUACUGAUUUUAAGGUUUUAAAUGUGAUUUUUAUGGAGUUUUGUUGUAUUUUAACUUCUGUAAACCACUUUGGGAUUUCUUAUGGAAGGCAGUAUUAUAAUUGAACAAUAAAAUUA